CGUGUGGUUCUAUUUUGUUGGUUUCUAGGACCGCCGUAAUGAUUAAUAGGGACAGUCGGGGGCAUCAGUAUUCAAUUGUCAGAGGUGGAAUUCUUGGAUUUAUUGAAGACUAACUACUGCGAAAGCAUUUGCCAAGGAUGUUUUCAUUAAUCAGGAACGAAAGUUAGGGGAUCGAAGACGAUCAGAUACCGUCGUAGUCUUAACCAUAAACUAUGCCGACUAGGGAUCGGACGAUGUUAUUUUUUGACGCGUUCGGCACCUUACGAGAAAUCAAAGUGCUUGGGCCCCAGGGGGAGUAUGGUCGCAAGGCUGAAACUUAAAGAAAUUGACGGAAGGGCACCACCAGGGGUGGAGCCUGCGGCUUAAUUUGACUCAACACGG
rnacentral:rRNA from 1 species